rnacentral:rRNA from 1 species
AGUGAACGCUGGCGGCAGGCCUAAUACAUGCAAGUCGAACGGCAGCACAGCAGAGCUUGCUCUGUGGGUGGCGAGUGGCGGACGGGUGAGGAAUACGUGGGAAUCUGCCCAGUCGUGGGGAUAACGUAGGGAAACUUACGCUAAUACCGCAUGCGCCUUCGGGGAAAGCCGGGGACCUUCGGGCCUGGCGCGAUUGGAUGAGCCCACGUCGGAUUAGCUAGUUGGCGGGGUAAAGGCCCACCAAGGCGACGAUCCGUAGCUGGUCUGAGAGGAUGAUCAGCCACACUGGAACUGAGACACGGUCCAGACUCCUACGGGAGGCAGCAGUAGGGAAUAUUGGACAAUGGGCGCAAGCCUGAUCCAGCCAUGCCGCGUGAGUGAAGAAGGCCUCGGG